rnacentral:rRNA from 1 species
UACAGAGGGGGCAAGCGUUGUUCGGAAUUACUGGGCGUAAAGGGCGCGUAGGCGGCCCGCUAAGUCGAACGUGAAAUCCCCAGGCUCAACCUGGGAACUGCGUCCGAUACUGGCAGGCUUGAAUCCGGGAGAGGGAUGUGGAAUUCCAGGUGUAGCGGUGAAAUGCGUAGAUAUCUGGAGGAACACCGGGUGGCGAAGGCGGCAUCCUGGACCGGUAUUGACGCUGAGGCGGCGAAAGCUAGGGGAGCAAACGGG